rnacentral:RNase_P_RNA from 1 species
GAAGCAGGCAGGAUGGCCGCUUCAGAAAUUAUUCACAUGUAUAAUCUUUGAAGAGGAAAGUCCGAGCUCCAUAGGAUACAGUGCUCUGUAACGCAGAGUGGGAGUGAUCCCAAGGAAAGUGCCACAGAAAAUAUACCGCCUUACGAGAUUAUCUCGCAAGGUAAGGGGGAAAAGGUGGGGCCAGAAAUAGUGGCUUAAUGUAAGAGCCCACCGCUCUCUAAGUGAUUAGAGGGGCAUGGUAAACCCCACUGGGAGAAAGGCUAAAUAGAGAGGAAUAGAGUGAUCCGCUUUCAACCUCCGGGUAAGCCGCUUGAUUCCGAUGGUAACAUCGGAACUAGAUUAAUGGUCAUCAAAAACAGAACUCGGCUUAUGGCCUGCUUCAAUU